UGGAAUUAAUUUUUUUCCUGAUUCUUGUGUUUCAAGAUAAAGGAGCUUAUUAGAGGUGAAGGACGCUCAAAAUGCAGAGCACAUGGAGAUCCCACUGUUCCAGAGUGGAUGGGCUACAAGAUCUUCACCAAAGUUCAUGGUCAGUAAAUGCAGAGACUAAUCCAGAAUAAUAAAGUCAUGCAACCUUGUAAGGUAGUUUAGUUAGAACAUAUUUGUUGUUGAGCAUUGACAGUCUCUUUUUUCUAUCUUAGAGGAGGACAAAAAACUUAAAAAUUCGGCUUUUGGAGUAACAUAUCCACAAACAUUGUUAUAGACAUCAGAGAACUAAGUUCAUAUUCCAUGAGUGGUUGGAUUAAUGGGAGUGAACCUGCACCUGAUCCAUUCCUUUCCCACGUUUCUCUACAAUAUGCCCCUUUCGGAUUCUAAAGAUAGUCAGAAAGAUGUAACUUCUUACAUUGCUGCCACUAGUGAUGUAGAAAUAUCAUUAAUAUCAACAUGAAUUAGACGAAGAGAAGUUGGUUAUGUUUUUCAAUAGCAUGCUUGCAUUUUUUACAUUAUGUAUUCAAGUGUAUAGGAGAAUAUUGUCAUGCUUCACAUUAUGUAUUCAAAAAUUUGUAAUGAAAUUAUAAUUUUUUAUAAAAUUCCAU
rnacentral:lncRNA from 1 species